UACGUAGGGGGCAAGCGUUGUCCGGAAUCAUUGGGCGUAAAGCGCGUGUAGGCGGCCCGAUAAGUCCGCUGUGAAAGUCCAGGGCUCAACCCUGGGAUGCCGGUGGAUACUGUCGGGCUAGAGUACGGAAGAGGACGAGUGGAAUUCCUGGUGUAGCGGUGAAAUGCGCAGAUAUCAGGAGGAACACCGAUGCGAAGGCAGCUCGCUGGGACGUCACUGACGCUGAGACGCGAAAGCGUGGGGGAGCAAACAGG
rnacentral:rRNA from 1 species